AAAAAGGUUAAGUAAAACCAGGCACAUGGAAGCAGCUCUUGAAAGUUGAAACAACAGAGAAGAUGAUAAAGAAAGUGGUUCAGUAUGUAAAGAUUGGAUUUUUCUCCAUUAUGGAAGCUUGUUCAUCCUCCAGACACGAAACCGAAGGAACCAAGCUAGAAGAGUCAUCUGUAGAGGAAGAAGUAGAAGAUAGAGGAAUCCAGAUACUGGCCGCCGAGGGUCAAGUCGAGGGUCCAUCACGACCCAAGCCGCCUCAUGGUCCACCUCCUCAGACCGCCUGAUGCAGCCGAAUUACUUCUAAACUUUACUUUAUUUCAUUUUUGUAAUUAAUUUCUUGCUUUUUUCAAUUAAUAAUUUGAAUUUUGGACUU